rnacentral:rRNA from 1 species
GUGUCAGCCGCCGCGGUAAUACCAGCUCUCCGAGUGGUGGGGAUGAUUAUUGGGCCUAAAGCAUCCGUAGCCGGCUGGACAAGUCCCCUGUUAAAUCCAACGAUCCAAUCGUUGGUCUGCGGGGGAUACUGUCCGGCUUGGGGGCGGGAGAGGCCGCCGGUAUUUCCGGGGUAGGGGUGAAAUCCUAUAAUCCCGGGAGGACCACCAGUGGCGAAGGCUGUCGGCUAGAACGCGCCCGACGGUGAGGGAUGAAAGCUGGGGGAGCGAACCGGAUUAGAUACCCGGGUAGUCCCAGCUGUAAACGAUGCAGGCUAGGUGUUAGGGCGGCUACGUGCCGCUCUAGUGCCGCAGGGAAGCCGUUAAGCCUGCCGCCUGGGGAGUACGGUCGCAAGGCUGAAACUCAAAGGAAUUGGCGGGG